ACGCACCGUUUCUUGAUUCUGAAACUAGACUUAUAUACCUUUCUGAAUAUGUAAGAUUUGUGCCUUAGUCCCUUCUAGGAAAAAUCAGUUUUUGUCCCAAAGUUGAUGGUUUGUCAAUUCUGGAAAUCUGGGCAGGUUUUAGAGCAACGUUCUUCAUCAAUUUUGUCAUAGUUAGAUGUACUUACUGACUAUGGAUGCUGAUGAGUCUCAAACAUUGAUCAAUUGGUGAUGUUUUGGUGUUGGAAUUAUUGGAAAAGAUUGAGUAUGUGAUUUUUAAUGAGCAUUCGAUCGCAGACUGUUCUGCUGGGUCUGUAGUUUCUGUUUUAGAUGUGUAAUUUCAAUUGAGCAUAUCUUAGUCAUUCGGAGUCCAAUUUGGGCAAAUUUUAUAUCUAGAUUGAUGUACUAGAAGUCUUCUUGCUAGUGGUGGUGGUCUUGUAGUAUUCUUUGAAACCUAUAGAGAAGUAUGGCCAGAGUACGAUAGACUGUCUGGCUGAAUUUUGGUGUUUCCAACACAUAAUUCGUUUGGUGGUUCUUCUAUAUAGUGUGUUUGUGAAAUUCUCGAUUUUGGGUGCGAAUUGGUGAAUUUACUUAUGUUUGGCAGUUGUUAUGUAGUCGAGUUGAGGCAGCAUAUUGUUAAUGCAUUUGUCAAGCCUUUCAAGUAUUUUUAUACUAAAAUGUUUGGCUUGUGGAUAGGUGACGAGUCGGUGAAUCAAGAAGCACCGAAACCAUAGUAGUACUUUCUUUUGGAGUACGAGUUUUGCAGGCGUUGUAGAUAUCCACUGCUGAUCAUUGUGGGGUUGUACGCUCGCUUAGGGUAGCAUGUCGGGAAGGCUGGACUAGUGUGGCGAAAUUUUGUAAAUAGGUAUGUAGUGCAGCCUAUGUUUAUAUUUGGUUCAUUGUAUAGUUUAACGAUUUCUUAAGACUUCCGCUGUGUUUGUAAGAACGUUUAAGUUUUGCGUUAUCAAUAAAAUGGUUGUUGGUUAAUUUA